CACCUCUAGGUCCCUUUGUCACAUGAAAUAACGUGACUCUAGGCUCUGAGCCGCAGCUUUAGGGAGCCCCCAGGGACACACCCUGUCAGCGAAGGACACACCCCAGGGACACACCCUGUCGCUGGGAGUCAGCGAAAGCCACGGGGGCCCCCCAAGCCAACGCCGAGCUUCACGCCGGCCUGGAGACGGGGACGCCGACCACAGCCGGCGACGGUGGCUGCUCGUCCCUGCACAGGAAGGGCUCCCGGUCCUACUCCUUGAGACACAGCACGCGCCCCUCUGAGGCCAGAGGUCGCCUGGCUUCAGCCAUGGGUGAGGGGAGUGGGGGGACGCCAGUGGGGUCUGGCUGCGCUCACUCCCGUCAGGGUCCCUCCUCAGACCCCCACCCCAAGCCCCGCCCAGGGAUGGGCUCCCAAAAGCGAGUCCAGAAGCCACCCCGCCAGCAGACCACGGAUCCACCACAUGCUUCCCCUGUGUGCGACACAGGUCAGACACGGCUACGGUGCAGGCCCGAGAGAAAACCCAUCAGCAGAGCAAGGCUCGAGGUCAGGCGGCUUCAACAACAGCAGCAGUGAGUGAGGAACUGGGGAGAGCUUGUCUGUGUGGUAUUUCCCACAGACCCAUAGGUGGUGUCCUAAAAUACAGGAUUCAGGUAAAUCGACAAGGUCCCCAACAGGUCUAAUAACUCAGUUUCAACUUGGAGACAAGCACAAACGAAAUUUUGAGAUUUCUGCUGCAAUGGUCAUGCACAGUGAAAAUAUUGGUGACUCCUCUCGGAGAAGAAGUCACACGGACCCCUGAGGCGGGGCUUGCUGCCUGCAUCCACAGGCACAGGGGACUCCGACAUUCACUCACGGCAAACACCGCGCAGGAGGCGCCGUUUUCCCCACUGGAGUUUACAAUACCCCGAACUUCCACAUUCUGCUUUAGAUGGUUCCCAGGACCAGGGCUGGGCUGUGUCUCCUGUUCAGGAGGCUCUGGUCCCACGGGGUUGGGUGGGCGCUGCUCAGGCGCUCUGCAGCUCUAACCUUGGGCAAGUGCACAGGCUGUCUCCCCGCCUCCCCUCAGCAUCUACUUUGUGGGUUGUUGUGAAAGUUACUGGGAACAAGUAGGGUUCAGCUAAGUACCGGGCUGAGCCACCAGGGAGGGAGGGGACGGUACCAGAGGGGCUUAGCCAACACUUGUUAGGCUGGAUUUUUUUUCUCUCUCUGGUCUCUGACUUAGGGCAGCACAUCCCAGGGAGGAGACGGGGGAAGAGCGCUUUUGAUGAGCAAAUGUCUGCUCUGCCAGAGACUGCACAGAGAUGGGGGGGGGGGAACAGACCAAAUGACUUGUCUUUAACUUGAACCCCAAUGAGCAGGGGAAGCAUCUCUAAACCAGAACCCAUGUUCCGCUACAGAACACACGACGAAAAGAUUUUCUAGGAGUCUCCCAUAACUUACUUAAGAAGGCAAACUUUUUCAAAAGCGACAUUGCUGUGUGUUUUGAUAACACACAGGUAGAUGCUGCUAAUUACAGGUGUGUGUUCUGUGUUUGUUAAAGAAGUCUGGGCAGGACCGGAUGCCCUCAGCAAUGGGAAAAUGAUCCACAGUGUACUGGGUGAGGGUUGGGGAGAUGGGUUGGCAAGAAAGCUUUUCCCACCAGGAGGGAAGACCCCCCCCCCCCAGGAGAGCAAGACAGUGCUGCUGCAUUACUUAGCCGCCCCUCUGUCUUUUCCCCUUUUUUGUUGUAUGAAGUUAAGUCACCAGAAAAUGACAGAUUUUAAAAUAUUGUCCCAGCCUUCCCACAGAAAUGCCCGAACUGGGAAAUAAAGGUGUGCCCUCCCUUUUCACAGGGGCUGGAUAGAAUAAACACACUUGGAAAAUGCUUCUACUGCAAACCCAAAGUUCACUAUGUGUGCAAUGGCUUUUUUCUCCGUUAUUUUGUUUUGGCCGCGACUUUCAUAUAAGUAUCUAGAGGACAGACUCCCCUUGAAACUGUCUCCCAUGCGGAUGACCACGCUGCUUCUACUCCCCCACCAAUAAAAUGAGUUCCCUUUUGGGUGUCAGAACCUCGAGGUGAACGUUUGCCUCUCUCCGUAAGCCCUCAGCCUCUCCGCCUCCGCCUCCAUUUUAGCUGCCUCCCUUACAUGUGUUCAAGGCUGUAAACCACUCCUGGAUGUGGGUGGGGCAUAGUCUAGAAAUAGAUCCCGGAUCGGAGGCAUCUUCCCUACCAAGCCGGACUGGGGCCAUCAGCCUCCGCCCAAGCCCUGG